rnacentral:rRNA from 1 species
CCCUAAAGUGGGGGAUAGCCUUUCGAAAGGAAGAUUAAUACCGCAUGUGGCCUUUGGGUCAAAGCUGCCUUCGGGUGGUGCUUUAGGAUGGGCUCGCGGCCUAUCAGCUAGUAGGUGAGGUAACGGCUCACCUAGGCGAUGACGGGUAGCUGGUCUGAGAGGACGAUCAGCAACACUGGAACUGAGACACGGUCCAGACACCUACGGGUGGCAGCAGUCGAGAAUCAUUCACAAUGGGGGCAACCCUGAUGGUGCAACGCCGCGUGGAGGAAGAAGGCCCUAGGGUCGUAAACUCCUGUCAUUUGAGAGUAAGGCUUAUGCGUUAAAAGCGUGUAAGUUUGAUAGUAUCAAAAGAGGAAGGGACGGCUAACUUCGUGCCAGCAGCCGCGGUAAUACGAAGGUCCCAAGCGUUGUUCGGAAUCACUGGGCGCAAAGCGUACGUAGGCGGUUAGGUAAGUCAGAUGUGAAAGGCAGGGGCUCAACCCCUGGACUGCAUCCGAUACUGCCUGACUAUAGUCAUGGAGAGGUAAGUGGAAUUCUUGGUGUAGCAGUGAAAUG